CUCCAUGGUUAAUACCCAUGGACGAUGACAUUGGCUGCAGAAUAAGCACCGGCUAACUCUGUGCCAGCAGCCGCGGUAAUACAGAGGGUGCAAGCGUUAAUCGGAAUUACUGGGCGUAAAGCGAGCGUAGGUGGCUUGAUAAGUCAGAUGUGAAAUCCCCGGGCUUAACCUGGGAACUGCAUCUGAAACUGUUAGGCUAGAGUAGGUGAGAGGGAAGUAGAAUUUCAGGUGUAGCGGUGAAAUGCGUAGAGAUCUGAAGGAAUACCGAUGGCGAAGGCAGCUUCCUGGCAUCAUACUGACACUGAGGCUCGAAAGCGUGGGUAGCAAACAGGAUUAGAUACCCUGGUAGUCCACGCCGUAAACGAUGUC
rnacentral:rRNA from 1 species